UGGAAAGCAUGGCAUCUGAGCUGCGUCACUGUGAGUUUGUUUGUGUUGUUUACGUAAUGAAACUGUGAAAAUACUAUACUCUUCAUCAGAAUCGACUCAUUUCAAGUAUAUGUAGUCCACCACCACCAUCACCAACUAUCAUCUGGACCUAUGAAUCUGAAUAAGUGGCCGCAUCGGUGAGUGCCAUAUCAGCCCUGCGACUGGUCUUUUGUGAUGAAGAGAUCCACCUGUUAGCAGUGACGUCAUCGAGAAGCGGUGUGUGCCGACCCUCCCUCACGCUGCCUGUCACCGCCUCACUUCAGGAUCACCGCUGUCUGGAGAGUACACCAGAACUUCGGACAGGGACGAGACUCGCUCACCGCAUGGAAGAGACGAGGCACAUCACUGUAAGCGGAGGCACAUUAGAACACAAGAAAUACCAACUUUGUGCAUUCCUGUCUCAUGGGGCGUCAUUGCUUCUGCUUAACCACGAGAGCUACAACCAGGCAUUCAAGAGUCGCCCGGGGACACUAGUGUGGCAAUCUUAACAUCAGUUUCAGGAGAAUUCAGUGGGAAACGAAGCUUAAUCGAAAACUGAAGUCAAAUUACAAUACUUCCAUCCUACAGCAGUUUAUUGUUGUUUUCAUGUAUGCAGUGUGUGUGGGUCCCCGUGGGGUGUGGCCAGACAGCCCCGCCCAGACAGCCAGCUCGCCUCGCUUUCCUCUUAUUGCCAACGCAGAAAACGAUUCCCAACACACUGUCUCUGCAUUUACUCUGCUCAGCAAAAAAGGAAGUCGGUCAUUACCUUGGUACACAAAAACUACUGCUUGGAAUGGUUUCGACAGAAUAUAUUUGGUGAAAAGGGAACUCGUGCAGCAUGCAAGAAUAGAUUUUCCCUCACUGCGGCAACAGCGUCGUUAACAGCAUCUGGCGUGAUGCUGGAGGCGCCACCAGCAGCCUCGCUCCGCCUCCACUAACGGUGCUGGUAACCUCAUAACUAGAAAGGCGACAACGACCCUGCUUAGGCCUCCUGCCUCGGCAUAUCUCACUUAUCCGAGCAUUAACAGGAAGGGCGGAGUCAUUUUAAUCUCCUCACUGAUGUCGUUUAUGAGUCAAAAUUGCCGUGGUAAUGACAGAGGGACGCGCUGAGAUGGUCUUCCCUUGCUGUGCCUGAGAAGCCAAGACGGUGGGAAUCAGAACGUCUUCCGCGGGUGUUAAGGCCGGGAGGUACUGAGCUUAGCCUUGCGGCGCCACACAUGGUACCAGGGACUUCCAACACAUAAGUGAAUCCAUGCGAGGAAUAGAGAUGCAUAUCAUUAAUAGUUUAUAAAGAAUGUGCCUGGGAAAGAAAGACUGGGGAAGACUGAAAUGAGAAACUAGAAGAGGUUGGUAACAAUAGGUGAAGCUUAGUUUGCAUGCAGAUUUCAGGCCAUUUAUAGUCGUCCGGCGAGGAUGUCACAUGACGACUGGUUUGUUUGAAGUCUUUUUGUCUUCUGUAACUUCCUUCUCUUCACCUAGAUGACGAUUUUUGCUUCACUUUGUUUUGCUUUGUGUGUGUGUGUGUGUGUGUGUGUGUGUGUGUGUGUGUGUGUGUGUGUGUGUGUGUGUGUGUGUGUGUGUGUGUGUGUGUGUGUGUGUGUGUGUGUGUUUGUGGGGUGUGUGUGUAUUGAAGAGGUGCAGCAGGCCAUGGAGCAUCCCCUCCUUAACGGCCCUGAAGCAAGCAGAGGGAAGCAACGGGUGUUUGGGGAAAAGCUAAUGUACUAAGUGCAUGCUUGUAUGUAACGGUGUGUGUGUGUGUGUGUGUGUGUGUGUGUGUGUGUGUGUGUGUGUGUGUGUGUGUGUGUGUGUGUGUGUGUGUGUGUGUGUGUGUGUGUGUGUGUGUGCUGGAGUCUCCAAAAACGAGCGCACAAAUGUGUAUAUUCGAAGAUAC